GGCUGUCAGCCGGUUUCCCAUCAGCUCUGCAUAUCUGAGCUCAAACUGCUGUCAGAAAGUUGCCGCUGUGGUAGUUUGCAUUGUGGCUGUCGCUACAUUGACUAGCUGUCAUAUUCAUGCUGAAGCAGCCUCAGCCUUCCAGGCUCUUCCAGGCUCUGAAUAAAGCAGAGGAGGAACGAACCGCGGGCCCUCCAGCCGAUUUAAAUCUGCAGGAAAACUAAAAAAAAGGAAAAAAAACACAAGAGGAGGAGGAGGGAAAACAUCUUCAACACCAGCAAGACAAAUAUCAGCUCGGCGUCCCGACACGCCUGGAAUUGGACCAGUUUGUCAUGCACAACCCGAGAGCACACAUUCAAACGGCCAAUCAGAACCGAUCCAGACUUUACUGCAACAGCAAACCAGGUUCUGCUUAAGACCAGAGAGGAAACGCUGAAUAAAGUGAUCUUAGCCUCUCAGUUCAUCUCUGGAGAGAACAAAUACAAAAUCAAACAUUAUCCAAAUUAAAAUGCAUAAACCAAAGUUUCAGGCUUUUAAUUAUUUUAAUUAUUUAUAAUGUACAUUUGC